UACGUAGGGUGCAAGCGUUAUCCGGAAUUAUUGGGCGUAAAGAGCUCGUAGGCGGUUUGUCGCGUCUGCUGUGAAAACCCGAGGCUCAACCUCGGGCCUGCAGUGGGUACGGGCAGACUAGAGUGCGGUAGGGGAGAUUGGAAUUCCUGGUGUAGCGGUGGAAUGCGCAGAUAUCGAGAGGAACACCUGCGGCGAAGGCGG
rnacentral:rRNA from 1 species